rnacentral:rRNA from 1 species
GAUGAACGCUGGCGGCGUGCCUAAUACAUGCAAGUCGAGCGAACAGACGAGGAGCUUGCUCCUCUGACGUUAGCGGCGGACGGGUGAGUAACACGUGGAUAACCUACCUAUAAGACUGGGAUAACUUCGGGAAACCGGAGCUAAUACCGGAUAAUAUAUUGAACCGCAUGGUUCAAUAGUGAACGACGGUUUUGCUGUCACUUAUAGAUGUAUCCGCGCCGCAUUAGCUAGUUGGUAAGGUAACGGCUUACCAAGGCAACGAUGCGUAGCCGACCUGAGAGGGUGAUCGGCCACACUGGAACUGAGACACGGCCCAGACUCCUACGGGAGGCAGCAGUAGGGAAUCUUCCGCAAUGGGCGAAAGCCUGACGGAGCAACGCCGCGUGAGGGAUGAAGGUCUUCGGGUCGUAAAACGCUGUUAUUAGGGAAGAACAAAUGUGUAAGUAACUAUGCACGUCUUGACGGUACCGAAUCAGAAAGCCACGGCUAACUACGUG